GUUAUAUGGUCAAGCGAAUAAGCGCACACGGUGGAUGCCUUGGCGGUCAGAGGCGAUGAAGGACGUGGCAGCCUGCGAAAAGUAUCGGGGAGCUGGCAACAAGCUUUGAUCCGGUAAUGUCCGAAUGGGGAAACCCACCCGCUUGCGGGUAUCCUGCAGUGAAUACAUAGCUGCUGGAAGCGAACCUGGUGAACUGAAAUAUCUAAGUAACCAGAGGAAAAGAAAUCAACCGAGAUUCCCUGAGUAGCGACGAGCGAACGGGGACUAGCCCUUAAGCUGGAAUGGUUCUAGAAAAACAGCCUGGAACGGCUGGCCAUAGAAGGUGAUAGCCCUGUAUUUAAAAGGGCCACUCCAGUGAAGACGAGUAGGGCGGGGCACGUGAAACCCUGUCUGAACAUGGGGGGACCAUCCUCCAAGGCUAAAUACUACUGACCGACCGAUAGUGAACCAGUACCGUGAGGGAAAGGCGAAAAGAACCCCGGAGAGGGGAGUGAAAUAGAUCCUGAAACCGUGUGCGUACAAGCAGUAGGAGCUCGAAAGAGUGACUGCGUACCUUUUGUAUAAUGGGUCAGCGACUUACUGUUCGUGGCAAGCUUAACCGUAUAGGGGAGGCGAAGGGAAACCGAGUCUGAUAAGGGCGCAUAGUCGCGGGCAGUAGACCCGAAACCGGGUGAUCUAGUCAUGGCCAGGGUGAAGGUGCCGUAACAGGUACUGGAGGCCCGAACCCACGUCUGUUGCAAAAGACGGGGAUGAGCUGUGAUUAGGAGUGAAAAGCUAAUCGAACCCGGAGAUAGCUGGUUCUCCUCGAAAGCUAUUUAGGUAGCGCCUCAUAUGUAUCCUCUCGGGGGUAGAGCACUGUUAUGGCUAGGGGGUCAUCGCGACUUACCAAACCAUUGCAAACUCCGAAUACCGAGACGGACUGUAUGGGAGACACACGGCGGGUGCUAACGUCCGUCGUGAAAAGGGAAACAACCCAGACCCACAGCUAAGGUCCCAAAUUCACUGCUAAGUGGAAAACCAUGUGGAAAGGCACAGACAGCCAGGAGGUUGGCUUAGAAGCAGCCACCCUUUAAAGAAAGCGUAAUAGCUCACUGGUCGAGUCGGUCUGCGGGGAAGAUUUAACGGGGCUAAGCAGUGAACCGAAGCUUGGGGUGUGCAUAUUUAUAUGUACGCGGUAGAGGAGCGUUCCGUAAGCCGUUGAAGGUGGAUUGAGAAGUCUGCUGGAGGUAUCGGAAGUGCGAAUGCUGACAUGAGUAACGAUAAUGCGGGUGAAAAACCCGCACGCCGAAAGCCCAAGGUUUCCUUGCGCAACGUUAAUCGGCGCAGGGUGAGUCGGCCCCUAAGGCGAGGACGAAAGUCGUAGUCGAUGGGAAGCAGGUUAAUAUUCCUGCACCUCGCGUAAGUGCGAUGGAGGGACGGAGAAGGUUAGGUGUACCCGGCGUUGGUUGUCCGGGGGAAAGGCGGUAGGUUUGGAUCUUUGGCAAAUCCGGGAUCCUUUAAGACCGAGCACCGAGACGAGCCUUUAAGGCGAAGUCACUGAUACCACGCUUCCAGGAAAAGCUCCUAAGCUUCAGCUUACGCAGACCGUACCGUAAACCGACACAGGUGGGUAGGAUGAGAAUUCUCAGGCGCUUGAGAGAACUCGGGUGAAGGAACUAGGCAACAUGGCACCGUAACUUCGGGAGAAGGUGCGCCCUUUUUGGUGGCUCAUGCGAGCUAUAGCUGAAGAGGGCCGCAGUAACCAGGCCGCUGCGACUGUUUAUCAAAAACACAGCACUCUGCAAACACGAAAGUGGACGUAUAGGGUGUGACGCCUGCCCGGUGCUGGAAGGUUAAUUGAUGGGGUCAGCCGCAAGGCGAAGCUCUUGAUCGAAGCCCCAGUAAACGGCGGCCGUAACUAUAACGGUCCUAAGGUAGCGAAAUUCCUUGUCGGGUAAGUUCCGACCUGCACGAAUGGCGUAACGACAGCGGCGCUGUCUCCACCCGAGACUCAGUGAAAUUGAAAUCGCUGUGAAGAUGCAGCGUUCCCGUGGCAAGACGGAAAGACCCCGUGAACCUUUACUAUAGCUUUACACUGAACGUUGAGUUCGUCUGUGUAGGAUAGGUGGGAGGCUAUGAAACUGUGGCGCUAGCUGCAGUGGAGCCAUCCUUGAAAUACCACCCUGUCGUGCUUGACGUUCUAACCUAGGUCCAUAAUCUGGAUCGGGGACCGUGUAUGGUGGGUAGUUUGACUGGGGCGGUCUCCUCCUAAAGAGUAACGGAGGAGCUCGAAGGUACGCUCAGCGCGGUCGGACAUCGCGCACUGUGUGCAAAGGCAUAAGCGUGCUUGACUGCAAGAUCGACGGAUCAAGCAGGUAGGAAACUAGGACUUAGUGAUCCGGUGGUUCUGUAUGGAAGGGCCAUCGCUCAACGGAUAAAAGGUACUCCGGGGAUAACAGGCUGAUACCGCCCAAGAGUUCAUAUCGACGGCGGUGUUUGGCACCUCGAUGUCGGCUCAUCACAUCCUGGGGCUGUAGUCGGUCCCAAGGGUAUGGCUGUUCGCCAUUUAAAGUGGUACGCGAGCUGGGUUCAGAACGUCGUGAGACAGUUCGGUCCCUAUCUGCCAUGGGCGUUGGAGAUUUGAGAGGGGCUGCUCCUAGUACGAGAGGACCGGAGUGGACGAACCUCUGGUGUUCCGGUUGUCACGCCAGUGGCAUUGCCGGGUAGCUAUGUUCGGAAGCGAUAACCGCUGAAAGCAUCUAAGCGGGAAGCGCGCCUCAAGAUGAGAUCUCCCGGGGCACAAGCCCCCUGAAGGAACCAUAUAGACUAUGUGGUUGAUAGGUCAGGUGUGUAAGUACAGCAAUGUAUUGAGCUAACUGAUACUAAUGAUCCGUGUGGCUUGACCAUAUAACCU
rnacentral:rRNA from 1 species